UCUCCGUUGGUGAACCAGCGGAGGGAUCAUUACCGAGUUAUUCCACUCCCAAACCCCUGUGAACUUAUACCUUUACUGCUGCUUCGGCGGGUUAACGCCCCGGAAGGCCCGCGAGGGCCGCCGGAACCAGGCGCCCGCCGGGGGACCCAAACUCUUGUAUCUUUUUUAUAGCAUGUCUGAGUGGAAUCAUAAACAAACGAAUCAAAACUUUCAACAACGGAUCUCUUGGUUCUGGCAUCGAUGAACGCAGC
rnacentral:misc_RNA from 1 species